UGUCGCGUCCAACCAGCGUCACGCGGGGUCGCGCUUUGUGGAAACGAACUGCAAGGCUUUGGUUUGAGGUCCGUGAUCACAACGACCCACAGAAACUUGAUUUCGACUUCACACUGCUUCUGUGGCGCGUCCUGGUGGCAGAUGAAUCUAGUCAGAUGGGUUAGGUCAGGGUGGACCAUAGCAGCUCACCACACAUCAUCGAGCGAUCUUACUACAAAGUCUGACUUUCCAGAACUUACCUGUAACUUCCAGAACCAUGAAGUCCUUUUGCUGCCUGCUUCUUCUGCUGAUGACGACUGUGGUCCUUGCAGACAGCAAAGAUGUCUUGAGCAGAUCGUCUAGAGAUGUAACCGAAUGCCAACAACAGGGUGGUCAUUGCUUUCUCUGGGUGUCAACUCUCCACUGCCCAGGACACAUUGCCAGAGAACUGUCCUGUGGCUCAGACCAACAAUACUGUUGUGUGUUCUCCAUAUAACAUGACCUCCUACUUAUGAAAUAAGACACACGAGUGCGGCAAGGACCACUCGUCUUCUCAAAGAUGUCUUGAGGCUACUUUUGAACAGCACAACACGGCAACCUUUCCUGCAUCAGAGAAGGACAUCAUUGAAUACAAACUGGAACCUUUGAAUAAAGAUCUUGAUUAUAA